rnacentral:rRNA from 1 species
GCGGCGAACGGGUGAGUAACACGUGGGUGAUCUGCCCUGCACUUCGGGAUAAGCCUGGGAAACUGGGUCUAAUACCGGAUAUGAGCCUCCACUGCAUGGUGGGGGUUGGAAAGGUUUACUGGUGCAGGAUGGGCCCGCGGCCUAUCAGCUUGUUGGUGGGGUAAUGGCCUACCAAGGCGACGACGGGUAGCCGGCCUGAGAGGGCGACCGGCCACACUGGGACUGAGACACGGCCCAGACUCCUACGGGAGGCAGCAGUGGGGAAUAUUGCACAAUGGGCGAAAGCCUGAUGCAGCGACGCCGCGUGAGGGAUGACGGCCUUCGGGUUGUAAACCUCUUUCAGCAGGGACGAAGCGAGAGUGACGGUACCUGCAGAAGAAGCACCGGCCAACUACGUGCCAGCAGCCGCGGUAAUACGUAGGGUGCGAGCGUUGUCCGGAAUUACUGGGCGUAAAGAGCUCGUAGGCGGUUUGUCGCGUCGUCUGUGAAAACCAGCAGCUCAACUGCUGGCUUGCAGGCGAUACGGGCAGACUUGAGUACUGCAGGGGAGACUGGAAUUCCUGGUGUAGCGGUGAAAUGCGCAGAUAUCANGAGGAACACCGGUGGCGAAGGCGGGUCUCUGGGCAGUAACUGACGCUGAGGAGCGAAAGCGUGGGUAGCGAACAGGAUUAGAUACCCUGGUAGUC